GUAAUGCCGGAUGUUCCAGUUGAUCGCAUGGUCUUCUGGGAAAGCUUUCGCGGUAUGGGAUGGGGUCGCGUCCUAUCAGCUUGACGGCGGGGUAACGGCCCACCGUGGCUUCGACGGGUAGCCGGCCUGAGAGGGCGACCGGCCACAUUGGGACUGAGAUACGGCCCAGACUCCUACGGGAGGCAGCAGUGGGGAAUAUUGCACAAUGGGCGCAAGCCUGAUGCAGCGACGCCGCGUGAGGGAUGGAGGCCUUCGGGUUGUAAACCUCUUUUAUCGGGGAGCAAGCGUGAGUGAGUUUACCCGUUGAAUAAGCACCGGCUAACUACGUGCCAGCAGCCGCGGUAAUACGUAGGGUGCAAGCGUUAUCCGGAAUUAUUGGGCGUAAAGGGCUCGUAGGCGGUUCGUCGCGUCCGGUGUGAAAGUCCAUCGCUUAACGGUGGAUCCGCGCCGGGUACGGGCGGGCUUGAGUGCGGUAGGGGAGACUGGAAUUCCCGGUGUAACGGUGGAAUGUGUAGAUAUC
rnacentral:rRNA from 1 species